GGUACCAGGAGAAAAGCGCGGUGCCCGACAGGCCGCCGCCUGUCUCGCAUGCGCCGCCGCCUGUGAGCCAUGCGCCGCCGCCGCAGCCGAAGCCGCAGCAAGACGACAGCUCGUCCAGCUCGUCGAGCAACAGCGACAGCGACUCCGGCAGCGACAGCGACAGCGACAACGACUCCAGCGCGCACCAGCCCGUUCCCAACGGCAACACGAGCAACCCGGCGCUGCCUAGCGACGUGCUGAACGAUGAUCUCUGCCUGUCCGAGUCGGGCAGCGACUCCGACUGACCUCACGAUAAACCUCUUUAUUUAUUUGGGUUUGGGUAUCUCUUCUCCUGACUUCUCUGCGGCCUCCCCCACUCUAGCGCUGUCUGAGCAGGCGCUAGUGUUGUGCAUGUGUCGAUAGUUUGUAUCGAGUUUGUAGUUGAGCGAGUCGAAAAUGGUAACAUCGAUAGCGUUUGCCACUCCAGCUUUCUCCGAGUGAGCGUUGGUGUUGUGUAUGAGUCGAUAGUUUGAGUAUCGAUAGUGGAUCUAAUCGAAAAUGGUAACAUCGAUAGCGUUAGCCACUUCAGCUUUCUCCGAGCAAGCGCUGGUGUUGUGUAUGUGUUGAUAGUUGACCUUAAGGAAAUGGCAACAUCGAUAGCGUUAGCCACUCCAGCUUUCUCCGAGUGAGCGUUGGUGUUGUGUGUGUCGAUAAUUUAAGGAUCGAGAAUUAAUUAGUAACAUCGAUAGUGUUAAUACCAGUAUUCAAUUGAUCAACCGUCACUACUAGUGGAAACACUAUCGCAUAAUUUUUCGAUCUCUUGGUGUGGUAAUUUGCGUACCGGAAUAUAGAGCAAUCUACGGUUCGGUGUUUGAAUUCUGAAAGGAGAAAAUUAUAGUGUAAUGAUUGUAAAUAUUACGUCUGCACUUAUAAUAAGCGGUGUGGAAGCUUGCAAGAAUCAUUAGUAUCGCUAGCUAUAGAUGUUUUACUGUUUUUCGAUGUCACAAGCGUAUAUUAUGUACAACACUAGCGUGAGUGCUCGUCACGUUCGUGCGCUCACGCUGGGAAACCGCUAGUGUGUUGGAGGCCUUAGACGCAAGCAAACAGCUCUAUGAAACUUGGCAAGUGUCUGAAGUCAGCACUCAUUGAAUCGUUAUUCGUAAAUCGUUCACUCAAUACGAUUGUAUACAAAAUUAAGACUUAAACAAGGAUAGAAAAAGCAUAGUUUUGCAUCAACAAGUAUCGAUAUCUUACUGUAUCAUAUCGAUAUGACUCGAUUACUGAUACUGUUUCGUAUUAAACGUACGAAAAUAAUCUGAACGAGCAUGAAUGGCAGCCUGUGUAAAUACGCCUUAAAACCAUACAACGGUUAGGAUUAUUAAUGCAAUAAUAAAAAAAGAGAAUAUGUGGCCAACUUUAUUGUAACGUUAAAAUAACGAAUAGUAACGUUAUCGCUAGCCUAGAAUAUAAUUGAUAUAAUUGACAACGGUGGGGUUUCGGAAUUAGAUGUAUUGUUGUGUGUUGUACAAAAUUAAUGUGUAUUAUGCCUGAAAAUUCGUUAUAGUAAAUUGCAAAAAUGUAUGAAUUCGAAUGUAACUUUAAAGCUGGUCGUAUGAAUGGCUAAGAGUCGCUUCUUAUAUCAUAACUUAAAUGUAAUAUAAUUCAUUAAUAUUAAUAAAACAUACAUGCAUCUCAAUCAUGAAACUAAAGUUCAAGAAUAAAAUGCCUUUUAUACAAACUAUAUUCUCAGUACAUAAUGUAUGGUCCUUAGCAUGUUAGUCUACCAUAAAACGACCAUUUCUCCAAUAGUUUUUGAGCUUUAUGUCUAUAGCAUAUGGUUCAAAAUUGAUUGCGGAAAUUUGAUACUAUAAGGUAGUUUGAUGUGCUAGAGACAGGUAGCUUAGUUUUGGUAUUUUGUACGCUAGUGAUAAAAAUCGUGUCAAAUGAAAGUUUUUGGUCCACUUAGGUAAAUCCUUGAGCGAUAUCCUGCUUAAUCUUUUUCUGAUUGCAGCCGAAUGCAAUAAUCGUAUGCGAAAGACGCACGGGUCUGUGAGGUUUCUCGGAAAAACGUAAACGUUAUGUUGCCAACCAAAGUUUCGAAUGUUGCCAUCCCUUUCACGCAAAGCGAAAUGCCAGCAUGAGAGACAGUGACAGAUAAACCCGAAACAACGUUAACAGCGUUUCGGAGUAGCCCAGUUGAUAUUCGCGCAGUGUAAAAGAAUUGCGACGCAUUAGUUUCGUUUUUCGCGCCUUUUGGAAGAUUAAAAUCGCUCACAAUGCACGGAAUUAUCUUGAAAAGGUCACCUUUAAAAUAAAAAGAAAAUUCUAAUGUAUUAUUCUAAUCAUCGCCUGCAAGGCACCGUGUGUUCUGGAAACCUUUAAAUCGAUGUACAGUCACGGAAUGAAAAGGUUCGUCAGUUUUCAAAUUGAUUCCUUCAACGAAUCGCGAGCACAUAUUACCUUUUGAAACUAUGUUACAGAAUAAUCUCGAGUUAGAGAAAAUAAUCUUUAACUGUUCGUCAGUAAAGUUCAAAAUUAUUCAGAUCAAAGUUGUUUGACGAUUUAUCUUGUCAAGAAGAUUAUUAUGAUUGAUAAACUAAAACCUUCUUGUUGGUUCAACCUGCCAUUAUUAUUUCUAUUAAAUAAAAAAAACUAUUGUCAAUUGGUCAAUGUCAUCAUUGCAUUGCACUGGAUGGGAUAGAAAAAUAAACAAGCAAAACCUUAUUCGUUAGCAAACGUCAUAUUUAUUUAAAUGUUAGCAGCACUGUUUCUUGCACUGUUAUGUUGGCAGGUUUGACUCUUACAGUACCUAGUGCAAGCGAAAACCGACACUAAGGUGACGAACCUUUUCAUUCCGCGACUGUACAAGUUUACUGAAAUCGUGCAAUAAAAGUAAUCGUGUCUUAUUUGCAAUUAAAUAUGAGAGGUCGUAAAACCGUAUGUUUUUUAACAUACAUACCUAUUUCAUCAACUCAUAACAAAGGAAAUUUUACCGUUGCAAAAUAGUGAAAGAGAUUAUUAGAAUUACGCUGAAUAUAUACUUAAUUAUAUACCAAAAGUGCCUUCUCAUUGGCACCAUAUUAUAAGCAAGUAUCGUUAGAACCUCAUAUACCUAUUUAAUAGAAAAAGUAUACAGUCUUUUCUUCUUGUAGGCUACGUGUCCACUAGCAAAAAAUAUCACAUUUUAGUUACCGAUUAUGAAUUCACAAUAAAUAAGCAAUUCUAGUACUUCUUUAUACGUAAGACUGACAGAAAUGUAUUUUUCAUAUUCAAGUAAAUUGUUUAUUAACUAACCUGCAAUGAAUAUACAAAUAUACAUUACUAUAUAUUUUUGCAAUGGACAAUUAGCUGAAAGUUAAAUAUUAUUUUAUGUAAAGGCCUUAUUAAAUACAUGAAAAUAACAAUAAUUUUAAAUCGGCGCUUAGUAUUUAUUAGAAUAUCCUAUUCAUUCUUAGAUAAAUAAAAUUACGUCAAUAUUUCAAUGAUUUAGGCCCAUUUGCUCAACAAACUUAAAAACGAAUUACUUAUUACUUAAUUUAUAAAUUACUUAUAAAAUAUCAAUUUUAACAAAGUAUUUAACACAUCAUGCAUUAUUUAAAGUUAUGAGAAGACAGAAACUGAAUGAUAUUUAAAGAUAGGUAUCUUUAUUUAGUUUGAGUUUUAAAAAACUGUCUUUUUCUACGUUACUUGUUGGUUUUCCAAGUCACUUUCGGCUAUUCCUUUGUCAGUACUCAAUCAAUGUUAAAUUCUGAAUUCUAUAAAUAAUCCUAGUAGUUUUUUUGUGCAACGGGGCCUUAAUAAUGCUUUUACCGUGCUAUGCGUAUCAGUCCAAAAGUUGGCAAAGUUUUGAACAAAAGUAACCCAUCAUUUGGUCCAAUACGCCAAGUGCUGUGUAAGCAAAUAAUUUAAUAAUUUCCUUGUAAGUUGCUUAACAAAUCAUCGAGUAAAAGCAAUCGUGACAUUCUAAAAGGCAUUAUGUGUCUGUUGUUUAAAUUAUAUGAUUGUUAUUCGUUAACUUGUUGUUGAUUCUCAUAAUAGGCUUGGAGAGCUCAUUGUGGUUUUCUUUACUUUCUUUCUAUGUACAUCUGUUUUCUCCAAUGUGUUCAUAAGUCAUUUACUUAUCUCUCUUCUACCAGCGAUAGUGUAUAGAGCCAUUAUGGUACCGUCGCGAAUGUCAUCAACCAACAAUAAUUUAUGUAUUUAGUUUAUUCUGUCUGUUCAAUCUUUAUUGUAAGAAUGUAUUCAUUAAUUUGAUAUGAGCACCUGAGCAAUUAAAAUUGUUGAGCAUCAAUAAUCAUGCUAAAAUGGGACUUAACAUUUAUGUUCUUUUCUUUUUUAGCAAAUAUUAUAUUUUUCAACUUAUGGUAGGUGACGUGUCGCAGCGAAGUUUACACGUGCCAGCACUUUGAUGUUUGUACAAAUGUUUGUGUUAUUUGGCUAGGCCUAUUUUCACCAAAAUCUAAUUUAUGUGCUUUGCGCUAAAGCUCCUUUUGCCUUGGCAAAUACUGGAAACUUUUGCCAAACAUCGGGUGCUAGCAUCAAAUAAAGUGUAACACUUGACUCUUGCCAUGUUUUGAAAUAUUUUUAACGUAAGUGAUGGUACAUAAUAGAGUAACUGUUACGAGUUAUUUUUAUGUCAAACCUAUUUUAUACAUAAUUUUAAGUAAAAACAUUUACUUACGGUUAUGCAUUAGUGACAUAAUAAAAUAAUAAUAAUGUGCCUCAAAUCAGACAAGAGUUAUUUUUUUUAUCUUAUGCCAAUAACAUAGUGCGUCUAGAUAAGCGUGUAAUGUUUGUUUGAUAUUUUUAUGACAACCAUAUUAUUUAAUAUUAUUAGUUAUGAAAUAAAAAUUUUAAUAAAUUUGUAUAGUAAGAGUAAAA